rnacentral:misc_RNA from 1 species
GAGGCAGGUCAUCAAAUAUAGAAUUAGUUCUUUGGGGCGCUUCCUGUGGAGAAGUAGUUCUUUGGGAUGCUGCCUGUGGAGGAGGAUUGUCCGAGGAGGAUGUUUCAGAUUUAGCGUUUUUGUUGCCUGAAGAACCAGACAGAAGUUCCUUGCUACUACUCGAAGCCAUAAGAAUAACUGAUCCUGGCGCGGGAAGAUUGAAGGGAAGAACGAG